CCAGCUGAACAGGUCCGUCGGGAAAUCUGCUCGCUCAACGAGCAGGCGUCCGGCGGAAACCAGUCAGCUUGGGACCAGAAGACCCGAGGGGUACGUCCGGGGUAGGAGUGAAAUCCUGUAAUCCUGGACGGACCACCGGUGGCGAAAGCGCCUCGGGAAGAUGGAUCCGACGGUGAGGGACGAAAGCUAGGGUCACGAACCGGAUUAGAUACCCGGGUAGUCCUAGCCGUAAACGAUGCUCACUAGGUGUGGCACUGGCUACGAGCCAGUGCUGUGCCGUAGGGAAGCCGUGAAGUGAGCCGCCUGGGAAGUACGUCCGCAAGGAUGAAACUUAAAGGAAUUGGCGGGGGAGCACUACAACCGGAGGAGCCUGCGGUUUAAUUGGACUCAACGCCGGACAUCUCACCAGCUCCGACAGUGUGCAGUGACGGUCAGUGUGAUGAGCUUACCUGAGCCACUGAGAGGAGGUGCAUGGCCGCCGUCAGCUCGUACCGUGAGGCGUCCUGUUAAGUCAGGCAACGAGCGAGACCCGCACGCCUAAUUGCCAGCAACACCCUUGUGGUGGUUGGGUACAUUAGGUGGACUGCCGCUGCUAAAGCGGAGGAAGGAACGGGCAACGGUAGGUCAGUAUGCCCCGAAUGAGCUGGGCAACACGCGGGCUACAAUGGUCGAGACAGUGGGAUGCAACCCCGAGAGGGGGCGCUAAUCUCCGAAACUCGAUCGUAGUUCGGAUU
rnacentral:rRNA from 1 species